UACGUAGGGUGCGAGCGUUGUCCGGAAUUAUUGGGCGUAAAGAGCUUGUAGGCGGUUUGUCGCGUCUGCUGUGAAAAUCCGGGGCUCAACCCCGGACUUGCAGUGGGUACGGGCAGACUAGAGUGUGGUAGGGGAGACUGGAAUUCCUGGUGUAGCGGUGAAAUGCGCAGAUAUCAGGAGGAACACCAACGGCGAAGGCAGCUCUCUGGUACGUGACUGACGCUGAGACGCGAAAGCGUGGGUAGCAAACAGG
rnacentral:rRNA from 1 species